rnacentral:snoRNA from 1 species
AAGACUAUACCUUCAGGGAUCGUCUCUAUAGUGCCUUACUAGAGAUGUUCCUCUGAUCGUACAGAAAGGCCCAGAAUUCAUUCCUGAGCGUGAAGCAGGCACUAGGUGUUGCUUCUGAAACUGCCUCUUGCUGUUGGUGAUCACUCUUUUUUUCAUUUGGGGGAGAAGAGAGAGAGGAUGCAAUCUGA